rnacentral:rRNA from 1 species
UGCGCAGGCGGGCUUGUGCGUCAGGGGUAAAAUCCACCGGCUUAACCGGUGAACCGCCCUUGAUACGGCAAGUCUUGAAUACGAGAGAGGAUAGUAGAAUUCCUGGUGUAGCGGUGAAAUGCGUAGAUAUCAGGAGGAAUACCAGUGGCGAAGGCGGCUAUCUGGCUCGUUAUUGACGCUCAGGCACGAAAGCGUGGGGAGCGAACA